rnacentral:rRNA from 1 species
AACCUUUACAAUGCACGAAAGUGUGAUAAGGGAAUCCUGAGUGCUUUACUUUUAGUAAGGCUUUUGUCAACUGUAAAUAGGUUGAUGAAUAAGUGGUGGGUAAGACUUGUGCCAGCCGCCGCGGUAACACCAGCGCCACAAGUGGCAACCGUUUUUAUUGGGCCUAAAGCGUCCGUAGCCUGUCUAGUAAAUUUUCUGUGAAAUCGUUGCACUAAAUGUAACGGCGUGCAGGAAAGACUGCUAGACUAGGGACCGGGAGGCGUCAGAGGUAUUCUUGAGGGAGCGGUAAAAUGCUAUAAUCUCAGGAGGACCACCUGUGGCGAAGGCGUCUGACGAGAACGGAUCCAACGGUGAGGGACGAAAGCUAGGGGAGCGAACCGG